CUGCGGCCGCCGCUAUCAUCCACAUUCUCGACUCUCGUCAGCCUUCACGAACACCACAGAUCGAUCUGCGGCGUUCGUUUGGUUUGGUCUGCGAUGUGCUUCUUCGUGUUUGUUUUGCUGUUCUCUUUCGUUUUUUUAGCUGUUUGGUUUGGUUUGGUUUGGUGAUCUGAGGAUGGACGCCGGCGAUGAGGAAGAACAUGGUUCGCUCGUCUGAACGGUGGGUUAUUUACCCACCUUGCAGAUUUUAAAAGUAGUCUGAGCCGAUGCAAAUUUCCUCUGGAUUCAUCGUUUUCCUUGAUGAGUUACUGGCUUUACAGUUUUAGACCUUAAAAAUCCUUUGUUUUCACUUAUGUUUCUGUCCAGUGAAAUCUCUCCGUUGGGAUAUUCAGUUGCAGUGAUGAGUAUCUCUUUUUUCGAGAGCAGGUCUCGAUCUGCUUGAUGAGUCUGGGAAAUAAUCACCUUAUUUCCUCCUGAGCGGUUACCUGAGCAACUCUUAGCACCAUCCAAACUCUUUGGAGUUUCCCCAACACAUCUGACUUUUCUUGGAAUACAAUUUUUUUUUUUUGCUUUCUUAGCUUCUUGUUUGUCUCACUUUGCUGAUUUAAUAGAUUAACGUUUGCAUAUAAUCUCAAUUUUCAGGUUCAUUUUCAACUGCAAAUUCAGAAUGUACUUAAAAACAUCAUUACGCAAGAGACACAAACUCUCUAGAAUGGCACACAUAUCAUUACAUCAAGUUUAGUAGAAAGCUACAUCAUAUGAUUGAGGACCAACACUUAACCUGCGAUUGCAAGUUGCCCUCAAACAAGAUCAGGGCAACGCAAGCAACGAAGGAGAUGGCAAAAAACACAUCCCCCGACAAGUUACAAUGUUCAGCUACAGCAGCAUCCACAGAUGACACUUAUGACAGAUGCAUCAUCUGCUUGGCACAAGACAACCAUAAGGUCGAAGAAACUUGCAAGAGCAAUGAAGAACGGUGUGUAUGGAAGAGAGCUAUGAUUGAUAUGUUAGGAGGCUUGAUCAUUCGUCGGUCUCUCUGGCAGGUGAUUCUCCUGCUCCAAGAAACGGACGACGAGGCAGGUGAUGUUGUCUGCGCUUCCCCUCUGUGAGGCCUCCUGGAGGAGCUUCUUUGCAGCCUGCUCUGAAUCCAGAAUUGGCUUCACCAUGGCCACAGCUUCCUGGGAUCACACGAGAAUACAUGUUAUUGCUUCAUUUUUUUCACAAGAGAACACAUGUUAUUACUUGCAUUUCAUAUAGGAGAUUUUGAGAAAUUAAAAAUACAUUUCAGAUAGGAGAUUUGGAGAUUGAAAAAACAUGUCAUUAGUACUUUAUUACUGGCUUCAGACUUCAGAGUUCAGAAACAUGCAUUUCAGAGAGGAGAUUUGGAUAAAUUAAAAUGAUUCAGAGAUCAGAAACAUGCAUUUCAGAAAGAUAUUUGGAGAAAUUAAAAUGAUUCAGAGUUCAGAAACAUGCAUUUCAGAAAGAGAUUUGGAGAAAUUAAAAUGAUUCAGAGUUCAGAAACAUGCAUUUCAGAGAGGAGAUUUGGAGAAAUUAAAAUUAGUGUGUACCUCGUUGGUCACCACGUCCCAGAGGCCAUCACUAGCAAGGAUGAGGAACUCGAGAGAGCUGUCGACCACCUCCUCCUGUACAGAUCAAAUAAGCAGAUAAAUGUCGAAUUUCGAUUUGCAACAGUACAUAACGUAAUAUGGUCGUAUCCUGAAAUCGUUCAUGGCCUCUAUGCAUAUACUUUCUUUAUGAGCUGCAUGAAUUAUGAAUUUGAGAUUGGAAGAAACUUGAGGACCUUGAUCUCUGGAUCAGCAACCACAUAUUGCUUCAGGAGUUUGUCACCAAAUGCUCGAGAGACAGCAAGAACACCACCCACGCGCCAUGUUCCUACAAAAUUUCCGCCAACAGAAUUUUAGCAUUUUUAUAGAUUAAGGACUUGGUGUUCAAUGUCGAAAAAAAGGGUAAAUGUAGCAUCAGCACAAUGAAUAGAUCAAGAGUUGAAAUACCAGCCCACAUCACAAAACCACCAGCAUCCUCUAUCCUCUGCCUCUCGUCUGACUGAUCAGGCUUGUGGUCUCUUGACACAGCUAUAGCUGCAUCAUCAAGAUGAAAUAAUGCAUCACAAAACUGAGGUUUCAAUCAUUUUAGAAGCAAAUUGUAAUAGGUAAUAUAGAGUUGCUCGGUUGACACAACGAACAUUCAUGAUACAGACCAGGACAGGACAUUGGUUGAAAAACAUGUACAGGUGAAGCACUUACGCUAUCUGCCCAACAAUCAGUAAAGUAAACAUGAAUUGAAAUGUUCUUAAUCUUACCAUCUCCUCCUCUACAAAUGACAGCCCUAGAAUCUCCAACAUUUGCAACGAGCAGACGGUCGCCUACGAGAAUUGCAGUGGAGGCAGUCGACCCUGCAUCUCGAUUGUGGCUGGUUUCAGCUUUCAGAAGUUCAGAGUCCGUGCUAGUGUAAGUUUCAGCUGCAGGACAGAAUGUUCAGGGAAUUAAACAUCCAAAGUGCAAACAAAAUUUUUGGGUGAAGUAGUUUGCUUUAGAGAAAAUAGACACAGAUAAAUAGCACAAUACCAAUUGCAGACUUGGUAUCACUGAAUAACUUUGGGUGCUUGAUUAAAUUGGUGAAGAGGUUCUGCUUGACGAAUUCUGCUGCUCGAGCUCCACCAUGACCUGCAGAAAACAAACCACGUAGUAUUACGAUCAGUAAUCACUGAAUAAGCAGGUGACGAUAUUUAUUUAAGUCAACACAAAACACUAAUUGCAUCAUGAAAAAGCAUCAGAUUACCAUCAAAGACACCAAACAGUCCAACGGUCUCUCCAUCGACACCAUCAAUUCUGGUGUCAUAGAAGUCCUCCAUGGAGGAUCUUUUUCCAGGAGAGCUCGCAUAACCAUAGCUAAAUUUACCAUUUGCACUGUCAUGAUAACACAAGAAGAACAACAAUAUCAGGUAAUAAUAACAGAAACGAAUUCUCUGUCAAUGGCUAUAUACAGAUAUUCGAAACUAACACUCCCAAUCCAAAAUGAAAAAUCACCCAUCUAAUAAAUAAAAACCCCCAUCGUUUGGCUUUUUUCAUAAUAAGCCAAAACGGCUUAUUAGGAAAUAAAAAUAAAUUUGUAGGUAAAACUUUUAUAUAUGCGUUCUGGGUGAUUUAAAAACCAAUGUUGUUAAAGAAACUACGUUGAAAAUAUCUCAAAAUCAAUCUUAAAAUUAAGUUUAAAAAUUUUAAAUUUGGCUUAUUCGUUGGCUGUUCGGCCCCCAACUUGCUUAAAACGGAUCAAACGAAAACGAAAUCAGAAAGAGAGAUGAAGCGAAACGGAAUACCUGAACCCGCCGCCACUGCCAGGCGAGCCAGCGGCCUCUCCGGCGAGCCCCAUCAAGCGCACCUCGCCGUCGUCCUCCUCCUCCUCCGCUCCCUGCGAGAGACAGGAGCAGCACGGGAACAGCGACAACAAGGCGAGAACCACCAACGAGCCGAGGAGGAGCACCUCACGCAUGCACGCGAACGACGGAGGAGGAAGAAGAAGAGGAUGGCGAUCGAUCCGGGGAACGCGGAGCUCGCUCGUGUCCCCCCUCCCCCCCUAUAAUGGAGGACCGGACGCGCGCGCGCGCCGGGCGUCACGUGGCGCCACGCCGUGCGCGCCACGCCCGCGCCCAUGGUUGGUUUUGGUCUUGUGGUUCUCCUCCUCCUCCUCCUGCUGCUGCUGAGCACGGACGAACACCUCGUCGUGGGAGACGAGGAAAUGGGAGGUGACCUCCACGUGGCGCGAGGGCGACCCGACCGGAGCUCGCGCGGGGCGACACGUCGUCGCCGUGGACGACGGUUUGGCGCCUUCUUUCGCGGUACACGUCAUGGUGGCGAGAUGCAUCGAACAAACUCCGUACUAUUCAACUGUUUGAUGCUUUCCACCGUCCAGAUGUUGCAAAUUAAGUGCUUCAUAUGCUCUUUAUUUUUUAGAAAUUUAAUAAUUUAGCAAUUGUUUUUGUUAAUUUACUUGAACGGAUACUAAUGAAGAUGAUACUACGUAAGAUCAUCUAAAUGCAUAAAAGUGAAUUAGGAUAUCAGAUAAUCGAGACCUAAUUUAAAAGUACAAAAUAGGGUCGGAUCAAAUACUUCCAACGUGUUGAAACAUCUGGAAACGUGUUGAAAGUUCACGAAUCGAACCCAACGCGUUCGUACUCGCCACCGACUCAGAAGUCGGAAAUUAAACUACUCCUUGUAUAGAAAAAUCGAAAGGCUUUUCAGAUUCAAUCAUCAAACCAAACCUGUUCGAUCGACUUCGCCCCGGUUCGAAGUUCGCCCGCCAUGGCCGCCGUGUCGUGCCGGUGCAGCAGCGUGGUGUUCGUCGGCAACGUCUCGUACCGGGCCACCGAGGCGGAGCUCCGCGACGCGUGCGAGGAGAUCGGCCCCGUCGAGUCGCUCCGCCUCGCCGUCGACGAGGACGCCGGCAACCGGCGGAGGGGCUUCGCGUUCGUCGAGUACCUCGACGACGAGACCGCCCGCAGCGCGUGCCGCAACCUCGACCGCCGCGCCCUCCGCGGCCGCGCGCUCCGCGUCGACCUCGCCGACCUGGGCUGCGGCGGCGGCGGGGGCGAGACGGACUAGCCAGUGGGCGUCGAGGACGCCACGCACGCGGCGUCGCUCGUCAACGGCGCGCCACCCAGCGCCGCCGUCACGGCGUACCUCGCCGGGCUGAACCGGCGGCAGCUGCGCGAGACGGUGGACGCGGUGGAGGCGCAGGGGGACGCCGCCGUGGAGGAGAUGAAGCGGGCGUACGCGGGGCUCGCCACGCUGCUCGAGCAGGCAAGGAUACUGCUCGACAUGGCCGACGCCGACGCCGCCGCCGCGGCGGCGAAGCGCAAGAAGCGCGGCGCGAGGGAUCACCACCACGGCCGUGAGGCCCAGCUUGCGUCAAAGCUGAGGAAGCUGAACGAUGGCAAGCCCAGCACAUCCAUGGCGUUUGUACUGUAGCUAGUCGUUCACAACCCAAUCGCAGCCCAUGGGCCGGUUUCAGCUGGGCCGGCCCAAGCACAGAGAAUUUCACCGGCAUCCUGCACAACGAGAUGGCACGGCCGAGAUGACUACCGAUAGAGUAAAACGUGCUCGGUUAAACACGAUUCGCCAUUUCGCCCCCACGUCGGCCCGCAGAUCGUACGAGGUCUCUCCACGACACACAUUUGCAUUAGCCACUGCACACAAAACCAUAUGUGCACAGCAAAAAGAUCAACUGGAGGCAAUGGGUGGAUUUUGCCGACAUGUGGGCGUUUAUUUUCCUUGGACAAGAUCAGUGCUUUCCACGGUAGCAGAUCUAGAUCCACAGGUAUAAUGCAUUUGCAUAUGGUCACAACAAUGUCAGGUCUUUAUGAAACACGCGCCUCUGCAAGACUGCAACAUACAGCCUUCACAAACGUACAACCUGCGUUUAAUUUCGGCCUUAAGCCACAGAAUGUUAACGAUUCUAUCUACCAACUGUAACUGCAUAUAGCCACAUUCAUGACUGAUAAGAUAAUUUCAGAUAAAAGUAGUAGAUGAAAUUUGAGCUAUUUAAUCAUGUAUUAAGUUAAAAAAGUUGAAAUAUCUUAUAGUAUAUGAAAUGGAAGUAGUAUAGGAGUCCGCAUAACAUUGUGAUAGGAAUAGACAAAGGUAAAAUUGCUCAAGACUUCAAACCUACUCCCAAAAUAAGCAAACGUAAAAUAAGAUGGAAAAUAACCUAGUAUAAAGAAUCUGGAUAUGGCUAUAUCUUAUCAUAUUUUAGGUUUCUUUAUUUUGGAAAAAAAAAGUUUUGGGCUCAUUUGAAUUGCAGGAACGAAAAAAAAUAAAGCAAUAGAAAAAACAUAUGGUUCUGACAGAAAUGCAAGUGUAAAACUAUAAUUAUAAAAUACAAAAAAAAACAUAUGAAUAACUAUUAAAAUUACAUAAAUUUGAGAAGAGAUAAAGACUUAAAGGAAACUUCCCAUAAGAUUCUACCUCUUAAAUUUCCUCCAAAACUUACAUGAAAUGAGACAUUUUAUAGAAUUUCUUAGAAUUUAAUGUUUUGAUUCGGAGGGCUAUAUAAGAAAAAAGUCUUAUAGGAAUAAAUUCUCUAAAAUUUCUAUGAUUUUCCUUUAAAUCAAAGGGGUCUAAAUGUCCCAUUCUAUUUUAACAUGGGAUGGAGGGACUAAGGGUCCCUUUGAAUCGCAUGAAUGGAAAAACGGAGGAAUAGAAAAAACGUAGGAUUUUGACAGGAAUGCAAGUGUAAAACAGAGGAUUGAAAAAUACAGGAAAAACACAGAAAUAACCGUUUGAUUGGACCACAAGAAAAACGCAGGAAUCGGAUGAGAGAGAUAGACUCAAAGGAAUUUUUCCAAGAGGUUGGACCUCUUGUUAACUUUCCUCCAAAAUCUCUAUAGGAUUAGUCAUUCUAUAGGAACUUUUAAGGAUAGUAUUGGAUCCAAUCCUUUAUUUCAAAGGCUUUCAUAGGAAUUUUUUUAAUAGGAUUAAAAUCCUUCAAAUUUCCUACACUUUCCUACCAAUCAAAGGGGCCCUAAAGUUCAAAAGUCUAUGAAUCGCAUAUGAACUGACACCGAAAUGCACUACUCGCAAAGAAGUGCAUUUGUGUGUCAUCUUUUCAGUACUGUACAGUGUACACAUUGCAUGUCUAGUGACCAGUGACACGGGUGUGACAGGGAAGGGGGGCCUGAUUGUCUGGAUCUUGGUGUCCUCUCUCUGACACUCCGAUAUUCAUCUUCAAUUAAAUUUAGGUCUCUCACCAAAAUUUUAGUCUCUGAGAGGACUAAAGUUUAGUCCCUCCCACCCAAACAUCACCUUAAAUCGUGUAACUAAAGAUUAAGGGACUAUUUAGUUUACGAACAAAAACUUUUGGCGUGUCAUAUUGGAUAUACGAACACACAUUUAAAGUAUUAAACAUGGAUUAAUAACAAAACAAAUUGCAGAUUCCGUCUUAAAAUUGCGAGACGAAUUUAUUAAGCCUAAUUAAUCCGUCAUUAGUAAAUAUUUACUGUAGUACCACAUUGUCAAAUCAUGGCGUAAUUAGGCUUAAAAGAUUCGUCUCGCAAUUUACACGCAAUUUGUGUAAUUGGUUUUUUUUAAUCUAUAUUUAAUAUCCUAUAUAUAUGUCCAAAUAUUUAACGUGACGGAGUGAAAAACUUUUUGUUUCGAAACUAAGGCUGUGUUUAGUUGGAUCCAAAGUUUGGAUUUUGAUUGAAAUUGGAGAUGAUGUGACUGAAAAGUUUUGUGUGUAUGACAGAUUGAUGUGAUGGAAAAGGACGGAAGUUUGGAUCUAAACACAGUCUAAACAGGCUCUAAAGAACGUGACGUGCAGACGAGAGGAACACACUCCCAUGCCGGAUCUCUGCCACUGUCCUCUGCAAUCUAGGAGGAGUAACUUUUGAUGACAAGACGACGUGCCUGCAAAGGUGUCACGUCCUGAGCUCUUUGCAGAGUCAGGAUAUGCCUUCCUUGCCUCAUCAGGUUUCCGUGCUCAAACUUCCAAAGCUGCCCACUUUGAAGUUUGAAAAAGAAGCAAGAAACAGAGAAAAGAACAGCAUGCAAAGAAUGGCCGUGUGCCUUUUUUUCCUGCAUUGUGGACGGAAGAACAGGUCGCAAUUUUCUGCCUCGUUUGUUCAGUACCAAGAACACAGAUAUAUGUGCAGUUAUUCAGUUGAUUCUGACGGUAGGUGGGAAUAGAAAUUGUACUACCUGAAACCUGAUCGUUCGUCUUAUUUUAUUUUUUUUAAAAAAAUAUAAAGAAUAAGUCACGCAUCAUAUUUUAUAAUCUAAUAACAAUAAAAAUACUAAUUAUAAAAAAAAAUUAAAUAAGACGGAUGAUCAAAGUUAGGUAGAGAACUUAUGGCUGCACUUAUUUUGGGACAGAGGGGAGUAGUACGAUUUGGUUUUGCAGAACUUUUUGUAGUAGUACUAAAACACAGAAGUCAGAAACAGGCAACAUUCUGUUUCUGUUGAACGGGUUUCGCUUGAUUGGACAUGAUGGCAGAAAAGAUGAUGGAGCACUCAAGAGAGAAGCUGCAUUCUGCUGCAAUUGAAGAGAAGAAUGGCAUCAUAAUUACGAAUAAUAUACUAUUCUCAUCGAUCAGGUUUCAGUUCUGAUCACAGCUUAAUCAGUGACUUGCACAUUAUGAUCAAGGGAGUAUUCGCCGCUUCCCCAUUUUAUGUGCCCCGGCCUUUCUCCUCCGGCUAGUUCGAUCUCAAUCCCCUCUUUCUCCAUCCAAAGAUCUCUCUUCCUUCGCAUCUAUUUUCCUGAAAAGAAUGAAUUCAAAAUGUUACUAUUUGUUUCCUGCACCAUUCAAACAUUCAAUAUUACAGAACAAGGUUCAAGUUCUCAAAAAAAAAAAAAAAACAAGGUUCAAGUUCUGAACUUCUGAUGCAUUAUAACAGUUCCACAUGGCGCAAAGGUAAAUGACAAGCAUCCAAGCAUGUAAUUGAAACAAUGAAUAAAGUUACUAAAUAAUGAGUUAUGAUCCAUAAUCUCAGUUACAUUGUUCAGAGUGAAUUUAUCCAUUCAACGGACGAAGACUAAUGGGCAGCAGUACUCUAUACGACGAUACAAAGACCUAACAAUUUCUCAAGACAGGACUGAUUGUGUAUAUAGAGGUUCUGACCAUUCUUAUACUACCAGAGAGAAGUAUUUAGGUUGUGCUUGCAAAAAAGGACUCUGAAGAUGACCACACAACUGAAUGUACUAUAAGAAUCUCCUAGAAAAAAGAAUGUACUACAAGGCAUACAUGUUCCGUUGUCUAAAUGAAUAUAUCUUCAGCCAACAAUGGAAAAGUGAUUACGAUAGCUCACUAAGAAAUAAAAGAAAUGGAUCACAGCAAGGGUUGCAAUUAAACCACAGGAUGAAGGUACAUUGUUUGAUAGGUCACCAUUAUGAUGGCCUCAAUGUCACUUGAACAACUUCUACAAGCAUGAGUGCAUCAAGCUAGAAAGAAAGUAUGAUCAGCAAAACACCUAAAUGGCAUACUGAUCAUAUGUGUAGUAAACACUUAUGUAAAGCACACAUGUCAGUGUUCCCCCCAAAGCAACUAAACAACUAACCAUGCAAGUAAAGGAACAAUGAAGGCAAUCUUGCCGAACAAAGGAUUUAAACACACCACCAACCGCUCAGUCCAUGACAAUGAAAACAAUAUGCUUUCCCUAAGCUACAGAUCAUGGCCAAUGUGGACCACAAUUGGGUACACCUGCGACAACUAGUACGCGAUAAACAGGUAAAGUUAGCAGAAGUUACAGUGCUAGGCAGUUGUAAGCAUAUUGCAAGUGCACACCUCCUGAAUUACUACACCCUUUUCAGUACCAAAACUGGCCAUUGUGUGGAGAUUAUCUAACUUUUACUGUUCACACCAUUGUCCUUUCCAUUCUCCCGGCCUAGCAAAGACAUUCCACCCCCACAUUCAGUUAUGAAAUUAACAGUAGAGCAUGUUCUGCUAUGUUCUACACUUCCUAUUCUAAAUGACAUGAGACACAGGGUGAAUUGCAACUAGGUGCUGUUCUGUACUCCCCCGUCCCAAUACGUAAGGGAUUUACCCGGCAAAAAAAUAUAUAAGGGAUUUUGAGUGGAUUUGACACAUCCUAGUAUUAUGAAUAUGAACAGAGAGCACGUCCAAAUUUGUAGUACUAGGAUAUGUCACGUCCAUCCAAAAUCUCUUAUAUUUUGGGACGAAGGGAGUACGAGGCAUUAGCAGUUGCACGGAAGUGGCAAGCAAGGGCCAACCACUGCAGAUCCUGAACUCCUAGAAGAAAGAUGGGGCCGUACGCGUGCCAAAUUAACAACCAAAGCACACACAUAUACCAAGAUGCAUGAGAUUAAUGUGGACAUUGAUUAGUACUGUCAUCAGAUAUCGCAAUCUUGGACCUCGAUAGAAAAAAGGGUCAAGAAAAACGCCUCUUGUUUUUGUCAUAGGACGUACUACUAAUUAACCAACAGCAUCAGAUCCCUAGAGCAGACUUACACAGAAGCAAUGACAAAACAGCAAUGGUCCCUGUCAUCCCAACAUCAGAUUAAUUGCUUUUCGGACUAACACACAUCAGAUCAGUUUAUUUAUUAUCAAAUAAUUAAACAAGAUUAGGAAAUCUCAACACUUUGACAAGAAAAAUAUCCCCACCGCAAACAGCACAUCAACACAUUACUCUCAAGGAGACGAGACGAAAAUGCGUUGAGACUUGAAACAGUACAGAACAUCACUGUCAUUUUCCCUUGUAAGACUCAAUGUCACUAAAAAACAAUCGACUCCACCCGAAUAAAUCACUUGCUAGAAUUUUGUAACCCGGAUAAUCAAGAACUAGUUGCUCAAAGGUAGCAUGUGCUACGGUGCAUCUUUUAUUACGCUACUGUAAGUUUAUACCAACAGGUUCAUGCUUUUUAAUCAAUAACAGUGAUUAAACAGUGGCAUUGCGAAUCCGAAUUGCGAAACAGUAUUAGCACUGGUAUGAAAAAGAAUGGCUGAGGGAGAAGAAUUGAGCCCUAACCUCCUCCUCCGCUCCCGCGUUCCUGGCAGCUCAUCGACCUCCCGACCUUGCCGGCGGCGCGUUCUUGGUGGCGGCUAUCGUUGGCCACCUUCGCCGAGUGAACCCUGAAUCCGGCGCCAGCCCUGCCGGCGUCGGGGACCACAUCGUCGGGCGCCGUCUCGACAUACUUGGCGGCGCCCAUCUCCAUCUGCGCGAUGCGCACGGCGCCGAAGAGCCUCUCGGGGAGCUCCUCCUCGGACUGGGACUCGACGAGGAACCCCAUGUCGAUGGUGACGGAGGUGACCGCGCCGAGCGCGAGGUGGAGGAUGGCGCUGGCGAUGGCGGAGCUGCCGAUGUCGACGUCGAUCUCGAGGUAGCCGUCCCCGCCGUGGUAGCGGCAGGUGAGCGCGCGGCCGAGGAGGCAGGCGGCGUAGUUGCCGACGGUGGCGCGCACCAGCCACGGGCCCUUCACGAUCCGGUUCACGAUCUUGAACCGCGCGUUCCGGUACGCGUCGUCGCCGUGGACGAACCGCCCCAGCAGCGACUCCGCCGGGAUCGCCGCCUCCGCCGCGAAGUAGAACACCGCGCUGUACGCGUCCGGCCGCCCCGGCACCUGCACACGAACCGAACCAAGAGAUUGAUUGUCACAAACAAUUCGAUCGGCGUCGACGCGCAGAUGCGAUCGAUCGGGGGGGGGGGGGGGGGGGAACGGACCUGGAGAUUGACGGCGAGGAGGAAGUGGGCGGAGGGGUCCUUGCGGAGGCGGGCGCGGCGGAAGGCGGCGGCGACGGGGAUGUCGUCGCGGGCGAGGACGUGGUCGAGGCGGGAGUGGCUCCUUAACCAGUCGACGCCGGCGGGGCGGAGGAGCCACUCGGCGGCGGAGGGCGCCUUCCCGCGCCUCCCACCCCCACCACCGCCACCGCCGCCGCCGCCGCCGCCGGAAAAGUACCCCCUCGCGCGCAGGUGGAACAAAUCCCCCGGCGGCGAGGCCCACCCAUUGGCGCCCCUCUCCAGGUCCACCUGCCUCAGCGAUGCGCCCGACACCGCCUCCUCCCUCCACCCCUGCUGCUGCUGCUCCUCCGCCUGCUCCCUCCUGGGGCUCAUCGCCGCCGGCGAGGGGAGAGACAAUAAAAGAAAAAACAAAAAAGAAAAAAAAAGGAAGGGAUUUUUGGUUGGGGGAGGAGAGGAGGUGGGUUCGGUGUUUUUGCGCGAAUGGAGGGAGGAGUUGGGGGUCGCUGCUUCUUCUUCCAGCUCUACCUAUAAAACAGUGGGAAAGAAAAGGAAAAAGGAAUUUUUGAUGCGUGAUUCGUAGAGGAACCAAAAUAAAGGUCUCGCCUUUGCUUUGAAGCACCUCUCCCCCUCCCUAAUUUGCACUUCUCUUGUUGAUUAUCUUGAUGUUUCUAUUUUUUUUUCUCGAAACACGGGACAAACGCGGAUGCUAGAAUACAUACGUGUACAGUCAUCUACAGAUUGAUGGAUCAUCGUGAGGUUUUUUCUUCCUUCCGAAACAUGAGACAAGCAUGGAUCGCGAAUGCUAAGAGGGUGUUUGGGUGAAAGUUUAGUCCCUCUCACCCAGACACCCCCUAAUAUAUAUACGUGUACACUCAUUUGUAGAUUGAUCGAUCAUCGUGAGGUUUUUUCUUCCUUCCCAAACAUGAGACAAGCAUGGAUGCUAGUAUACAUACGUGUACACUCGUAUCUAGAUUUAUCAUCGCAAUGUUUUAUUUUCGAAUGCGGUUACUCGAAUAUUUAUGUAGUUAUGUACAUACUCAUCUCCAUAAAUAUAAUAUGAGCAAAAAGAAAAAAAAACUCUUGUCUUUGCAUUUAAGCAUCUCUCGUCCUCCCUAAUUUGCCCUUCUUUCGUUGAAUAUCAUGACUUUUUUUCGAAACACAAGAUAAAAGCGGAUGCUAAUAUAUAUACUUGUACACUUUUCUAUAGAUUGCUGACUAUGAUUUUUUUUCUCAAAACACGGGACAAACGUGGAUGCUAGUAUACAUAUGUGUACAGUACACUCAUGUAGAUUUAUCACCACGAUGUUUCUUUUUCUUCUCAGAACAUGCGGACGCGGAUGCUCAUAUAUAUACGUGUACACAUCUCUAUAAACAUAACAUACGCAAAGGAAAAAGCCCUUACCUUUGCGUUUAAGCAUCUCUCGUCCUUCCUAAAUUGCACUUAUCAUGAUGUUUUUUUCGAAACACGGGACAAACACAGAUGUCCAAUGUGAUAUUUUUUUCCCUAAACACACGACAAACGUGGACGCUAGUAUACCAAUGUGUAACCCACCCUCCCCUCCCCCACUCCCAGUAUACACAUGUGUACACAUCUCUAUAAAACGUAACACGCGUAAAAAAAAGCUCUCACCUCUACGUUUAAGCAUUUCUCCUCCUCUCUAAUUUGCGCUUCCGUGUUGAUUACCAUGAUGGUUUUUUUUCAAAACAUGGGAUAGACAAGGAUGCUGGUAUAUAUACGCGUACACUUAUCUUCAUAAACUUAACAAGUAGAUUCUAUUCAUUUGAUCACCUCCAAAAAAAAAAUGGACUAUUGACGAAGUACCUUGGUGUGUUAGCAUUGUUUUUCUUCAACUAGUAAUUACCAAUUAUAAUGCGUGAUACACGUUGCACUAUCCAUGAAAUUUAUCAUAAUUUUUAGAUAAUCCGUAUGUAACAAUUUAUGAUGAUCACAAACACGGUUAACGUUUUCGACUAACAAAGACCAAAAAACCCCAUGAAAUAUAGAGGUUUCGAUGCAGUACAAAAGCAGAUUCUAUGAAAUUCGGAAUGGUUUUCAAUAAUUCAAAUUUAAGACAGUAAAAUCAGCCAAAAUUUGAUUAAAAUUUAGUGAAAUUUAACAAAAAAAAACUGUCAUGUCGCUAUGGUCGAUCGGAAUCCGGCACUCAAUCAGAAGGGUAAACCAUAAUCCGUGAGCGUAUAAGAAAACCGGCGAGGAGUCGUAGGAAGAAACAACAGACGAGUAAGCGAUAGAUAGUUGGAUCUCGAAUUUGCGUUGCUGCCUUCGUGGGAACGAACGGUCGCCACGCCUUCGCCUGCGUACGUGCUUGUCCUGUCCGGCGACGGCGACGGCGGCGGCGGUGGCGAGGAUCCACGUACGCUGACAUGUGGGGACACACGGCGGCGCCGUACGCCGGCGCGUGGACUCGCGACACGUGUACAUGCGACGGAACAGUUGAGGGGUUGGAUCUGAAUCAUCUGAUCUGAUCACGAGAUGCGAUCGUGCGAUGCGCCACCGACAAGAUUCGGGGGGGUCGUAGUGCCUCUUAUCGCAUCGACCGUCCAGUCUCCAUCCGACGGUCCGAAAGUAGGACACGUCGAACAAUGCAUAUACAUACUGUACAUGAUUACGCCUACGUGUGUCAGCAACAGUAUUUUUCUUUAUAAUUACACAAUGCAACUUAGACACUCCCAACGUAUGGGCACUCACCCCUAUGAACACACGCACACAAACCCUACCCAGAGCAUCUUCGAAGACUGCCUACCACUGAAAGCACAAUGCCGAUAAAUCCGCGAAGAUUGCCUACCACUGAAAGCACAACGCCGAUAAAUCCUGAAAAAUUCGCUCCCAUAUAGAGUCGAACCUAAGAUCUAAGGUGCUACUGAGUUUCUUGUAACCAUUAGGCUAUAGGCCCUUUCGCGUGUCAGCAACAGUAUUAUGGCUGAAGGAGCCGCAAGCACUCACCAAUUGUACAUGCAUGGCCGUUUGCUUGGCAAAUACAGAAUCACAUGAUACAUCAAUUUUUCAACUUGCACGAGAUAAAAAGUGACUGCUUAAUUGGGCAUGCAAAUUUUCAACGCAACUAUGCACAUCAUUUGUACUGUUGUACAAUACUUGCGCAAUGGACUGACAACUGAUGGAAGUAUAUAUAAUCGAAACUGGAAGUACUCCUUCCUCCAUUUCAGAAUGUAAGACUUUCUAGCAUUAUCUAUAUUCAUGUAGAUGUUAAUGAAUCUAAACACAUGUAUAUGCUUAGAUUCAUUAAUAUUCAUAUGAAUAUAAGCAAUGCUAGAAAGUCUUACUUUAAGAAACGGAUGGAGUACUUAAGAGUGCUUAGCAAUCUUUACCUUUUCAUUCCUGUUUUAUUAAAAACCGACCAAAAAGGUAAAACCCGAUAACUUUCGAUAAACGUCAUAUAAAAACCGACUAAUAUCGAUCGGUUUUCAUAUAUUGAGAUCUAAUCGGUUUAGUGAACCCUCAUACUAUGUAUAGCUACUAAUAAUAAGGUAGCAGUUGGCAGUUGUGAGUCGUCUCUGCUACUUCUUCAGUUAGCGUCAAGAUGUGAGGCCAGAUCAAGAUGGCAGUUUAAAGCAUCCACAGCUAGCUAAGCUCCAUGGUCGACGGAGUAAGGCUACAGUACACAAACAUGUGGAUAUCGGUUUAUAAUAAUCUUGCGACGAAAUUAGUAGUAUAUCGAGACUCGUGUCUGUUGAAUCUAUCCAUUAUCAAACACCAGUGGCCGGCGUGUUGUGUCCAUGUGCAACAACAGUAUAAAUUAUACCUCCUGGCACUGACAAUCUCCUCUUAAACUUUCCCAUUCUUUGACAAAAUAUUGAAAUGAGAGCUGACCGAUUUAUGAAGAAGAAGCAGGGCCUGUUUGGCAGCUCAAGCUCCAGCUUCAUCCUUUCUGGAGCUGAAGCUCAGCCAAACAGUUUUAGCUCCACCAAAACUGAGAGUAGAGCUGGGUGAAGUUCUCUCACAAAAUAAACUAGAGUUGUGGAGUUGGGUUUAGGCAGCUCUAUAACUCCACUCCAGACCCAACUCCUAGAGCUAAUUUAGAAGUUGGAGCUGUACCAAACAGGCCCGCAAUCUACUCCUAUCUCUGUUCUUGCCUUGAUCCAUCCUCUUUAACCAACUUUGUGAAUACUGAACAAUUCAGUCUGAAAGUUACAAUACCCUUGAAUACUACUCCCUCCAUCCCAAAAAAGACAAACCAUGGGUUUCCGUGUCCAACUUUUGACCGUCCGUUUUAUUUGAAAAAAUUAUGAAAAAAAUUAAAAAGACAAGUCACGCAUAAAGUAUUAAUCAUGUUUUAUCAUCUAACAACAAUGAAAAUACUAAUUUAAAAAAAAGUUCAUAUAAGACGAACAGUCAAAUGUUGGACACGGAAACCCAGGAUUUGUCUUCUUUUUUUUGGAUGGAGGGAGUACUUUGAACGAAAUGCAUGCCUCUGAAUAUUAUUAUUAAAGUAAAUUUCAGAAAAUCCUAUAUUUUAUGGUCAUAAUGCAUGAAGUAUUAAGCAUAAAUUUGAUCAUAAAACAUGGAGUAGUAUUAAGCAUAACUUAGAAAUGCCUAGCUAACAAGUUGCAGUUGGUUAGGCUGCCAAAUGAUUGGCCAAUCGAGCCAAUGCAACUGCAAGCAGCGGCCAGAAUUAUGCGAUCGAUCGGCGAGCACAUGCACACCCACUUGCAGUGCAGCUAGCAAAACAUUGGACAGCGCAUUUAUGCAUGCACACCGGCCGGCGCGGUUGGAUUCAAACUCAAACAUGGCAAAAACAUCUUUGAAUAAUCCACGGAGAAACAAAUGUUCAGUCAGUCUUUGCAUUGGAAUGCUAGCCAUCGGCAGCCAGUUGCCUCUUUCUUUCUAUCAGCUACAACUACUCUUUUUUAUCUUAAAAUAUAAUAAUUUACAACAUUCUAAUAAUAAAAUACUAUAACUUCUUCUCCUCGUAAUCGGGAUUGCCUACACAUUUGUCGGGUGAUUUUUAACAAGAAAUCACCCAUAUUUUUUUUACACUUAGAUUUAUAUCCAACGGACUACAAAAUAAAAUAACUAAUACAAAUUUACUUAUUCAAUAUUUUUAUCAAAAUUAUAGUGCACUUACAUAUCAUAUCAACUAAAUUUACAUAUGUAAUUUUAGUUAUAUAGGACUGUAAUUUUAUAUUUUAAAUACUUACAUGUCAUAUCUACUGAAUUUACAAAUGUAAUUUUAGUUAUAUAGGACUGUAAUUUUAUAUUUUAAAGAAAAUAACAAAUACAUAUUUACUUACACUUUAUUUUUAUAAAAAUUACAGUGCACUUACAUGUCAUAUCAACUGAAUUUACAAAUGUAAUUUUAGUUAUAUAGGACUGUAAUUCUAUAUUUUAAAGAAAAUAACAAAUACAUAUUUACUUACACUUUAUUUUUAUCAAAAUUACAGUGCACUUGCAUAUCAUAUCAACUGAAUUUACAAAUGUAAUUUUAGUUAUAUAUGUCUGUAAUUUUAGUUACAUAUAAGUUACAGUGUAAUUACACUAUAAUUAUAUUGUAAUUACAUCUGUCAAAUUUCUAAAAAAAAAUUAUCGGCAAAUAUAAAAAAAUUGAAUAGAACAGGUUUCUAGAGAUGGUAGAUUUGUUGGGCAUGGCCGCAUGGUGGUGUAAUCUAGAAGGUCGUCCCGUCCGGCGAUCGUCUCCACUCCUCAUGCCCAAAGGGACGAGCACAGUGCGAACAAGAUCAUCCCGACCGGCUGACCACGCAUGCAGCCUCCACCAUCGUGCGGUCAGCAAAUCCGUGAAAUCACCGGGAAAAAAUCACACGACAGAUUUCUAGCGAAAUCGAAAGUGAAAUGUACAAUACCCCAUGAGAAUCAUGCAUGUUCUAAAAUAUAACUUCUCCUCCCGCUAGUAAUAUUUAACUAUUCAAACUCUUCACAUACUUUCUCAUCUCAACCAAUCAUAACAUUAUCAUAAAAUUUUACCAUUUCUUAAAAACAUUAUCAUAACAAUUUACCAUAUUUUUAGAAAACUAAAAGGGAAAUAAUACCCCAUGAGAAUUGGGGGUUCAAAAUUACAGAACAAAAUCAGUUCUAUCGCCCCCCCCCCCUCCUGAUACAAUAUUAUUUCGUCUGAGAUUUUUUUAAUUUGGUAAUAUUUGUUCAAAUUUGUUUGAAUUUUGUUUAAAAAAAAUCAAAUAACUGUGGACCAAAAUAAUCAAAAUUUCAGCCAUAUUGUUACCCCUGAUACAAAUGGCUAAAAUAAUUAAAUAAAGAUCGAACCUUGAAAAUCAUGCUAGGGUCAGCAUUCGAAUCCAGGUGGGCUCGACGAACACCCUCGCACCACGCUAGAGCUAUGCUCAGUUGUCAACAAUUUACUAUUUAAUUUUACUUAUUUUCUUAAUACUCUUAUCUAAUUUUAAAAUCUCUUUGGACGGAAGAGAUUAGCUAGCUUUCUUCUUUCUCCUGCUGCUGCUGAUGCAUAUACUGUCAUAUACUGUAUGAGCUUGUUUUAUUCGCUAAUGCGUUUGCUUAAGCCAAUCGUUAGACAGAGAGACAGCAGCCAAGUGGACAGAAAAACAGCAGCAGCAGCACACGCAUGCGUGAUCACCUGGCUGUAUUCUCUCCUCUCUCCUCUGCGCUGGUCGCAGUUGUUGCCAGCAGGGAGUUCAGAUGAUUGUUUUGAUCUGAAUAAUUCAGAUUUCAGGCUGGUCUUAAACAUUUUGGAGAUGGGAAGUUUACAGGAAAUCUUUGCUGCUGCUCUCUUCUGGAUGAUUUGUCCACUUGUCAGAAGUGAAGCAACAUCUAGCUUGAAGCAUAAGCGCAGGAAAACAAAUCUGAAAGACCUAAUUAGCUGUAAUUGUAAGGCAUAAUAACUUCGAAAAGGUAAAUCGUAAAGAGACAGUAAGCAAUGGCUUAACAGAUACCCAUUCUAUGGAUGUCAUCUUCAGUUUAUUCCCAAGGAACAAAGUAUGUGCAUCUCAUAUUCUUAUGCCAUUAUGUGCUCAUCUUUACUUUCUUUUUCAAGUAUAUGGCCCCAUCUUUCCGUUCAAGAAAAAUCUGAAAAUGUUUAUGGCCUCGUCUGCUGAAACAGGAGUUGAACAAGAGUGGCCGAAAACCGAGGCAGUGAGGAAGCACAUGGGCUUGUACGAAUGUACAACCAGACUAUGUUUCAUUUAGGCCUGAUUGCUAAGCCCAUUUAUUUAAAUUGGAUUAUUUCUGGGCCUUCUGGUGGAGCACAUGGGCUUGUACAAUUGUCCAACACAAGUUUAGACUAGAUUAGUAGGAUGCCUUUAUUCAUCCUUCUUUUUUUUUUCUGUAACUGUCGCUCGAAUAAAGUCAUUUAUCAACUUUGCUGGAAGAGUGGAAGAUUAGCAGUAAUCAGUGUAGUGGAGUAAGUUCUUUCUGUGUUGUCUCGUGAUCUGAUAUAACAUGCUGACCACUUGUAAACAUUGUAAGUUUGUUACACACUGGCACAACUCAGGAUCGAUCAUUACAAGGCAGUACUUUUUUUUAAAAUAAUAAUAAUAAUAAUCUUUGAGCAACACAAGCCACUGAAAUCAGGACAACCAAGUGUUGAGACUAUAGGUAAACUUCUGGUUCUAUUGUCAAGCCAACCUCAUUAAUUAGCUGCCUAACUUUUCAUCUUUCCUAAUCUUGGUCAUAGUCAAACAUGCACGGAAAUUUUUUUUUUCUUAUCUUAAUCGUAAUAGUCAAGCAUGCACGGACAGCCUCGUAAAGAAGAUUACACAAGUGCAGGUAUAAAUUUAACUUGAAGGAUCAUGUUGAUCCAUUCAGGCAGUAGCAGCAGCUAACCAACCAAACAAUGCUGAUUCACUGAAGAGUCAAGGAGAUGGGCAAUUUUUCCUCUGUUAGGAGCAACUGAUCAGGACGAGCUAAACUGAUAUCUCAUCACAAGCUACAUGCAUCAAAAUCCACUUCCUUAUCAAUCGCCACAAUUUCAUGCAUAAUCUUGUAACUACUUCAGGGCUCUUCAAUUCUUUCAGAGAUCAGUACCAAUUGAUUACCAAAUGAUAGUAUGAGCCGCAAAAGUGGUUGGGAAAACACUGCACUUUUGCGUCUCUGCAUUGCCUGAAGUUUAGCAAAGCUGUUGAGGCAUGCGUAUGCAUUGAUCAACAGAAAGAUCACAAUGCUGGCUAGUGUUAUGAUUUUCACAAGUCAAACAGAAGAAGUUUUGUGUUCAGCUACUCUGAAUUUGAGUUUUGUUUUUUCUGCAUCUACUGUUGUUAAGAUCUCUGAAACUCACGAAUGGUCGAGAUUUUCAGGGCCGAUUUGUCUCAUUAGCCGACGAAAUAAAGUACUACUCCCAAAUGCUUUGAUGAUCCCAAAUGCUGUCCGAUUCAAUUGAAAAGCCUGAUGAAGUAGUGGGGGGAGUUUCCAUGUUCUUUUCUGUCAUACCAGUGACCUGCUACCGAAGUACAUGCUUGUGACAUUUCUUGGACUAUCUGUACACCGAUAUACUAUCCCCAGUCUGUUUGAUCAUUCUGCAUUACACAGAUAUCCCAUCAUGUGAAAAAGAACUAUCUUAAUUUACACCGCUAGUGAUUUCUCUUGGGUGUAAUCAUAUAUUCAUAUUUGAGAGUAAGAAUGUCUGAAUUCAGAAUUUGAAAUGUCGAAAAGAUGAAAUUUUGAGGGAGAAAUGGGUUGAAAUAUAGGUGUGUGAGGGCUCUCCCUUUUGAGUUGAUCAGAGGUGUUUCAGUGUUUGUCACUACCGGUAUCUUAUUUUAAAUCGCUAAUCGUUUCUCUUGGGGACAACAUAUUUAUCACUGCAUUCGAGAGUAAGAACGCUUGAAUUCAGAAUUCGAAACCUCCAAAAGAUGAGAUUUUGAGGGAGAAAUGGCUCUAAAAUGUGAGCAUCUGAGGCUUUCACUUUCUCUUGAGUUGAUCAGAGGUGUUUGUCAGUACCGGUGGUUUGGAUGGCAAAACACGGCCAGGACCAGGGCUACGUCCAUAUCGCAUCAUCAACUGAUGCGACAUGAUUCUAGUUAGUCGGUAGGCGUGUCCAUCACCAACAUGUAUGUCCUUGUCCCUGCAGCCUCCAUCCCCUGCCUCUUCAUCGUGACAAACUCUGCAAUCUACUCUCUGCAGGAAAGAUAGAUAGCUUACCUGCAACCUGUGACAAAAGAAAACUGACAAUACGAUUCAGUCUAGAAAAAGACAGGGUUCUGCAUUGUGUUGUGGUAAUCAAAUUCUGUUCAUGUUGGACUAGUAAUGUCAUCUGAUUCGGCUAUCAUGUUUCAUGUUAGUUAGUAGAUGAUACUACUUAAGUCUUAACAUACAUAAUUAAUAUGCCUUGUUAGUUAAUUAUGUUAUCUUCUUCAGCACAUGUGACUGAAAAUCUAUGCUGCAUCUUCAUCCCAUUGUUUGUGAACUGGGAGACUGGAAAUUAUUAGUACUAGUGGAGCACUGGUGUUGCUAACAUCUGUUUCAUUCUGUGGGUCCUGGGGCCCAUUCAUUGCCAUCCCCUGAAAAUUCCAAGAACAAAUGGGGCCCACCUGGUGAUACUCUUGUGGGCCCAAGCGGCGCGGCUGUGUUAAGCUGAAAUGUGCUCAACGGUCCAAUUGCAAUCAGAGGGUUUAUCAGGUCAGCUCGUUUAAAAUAACACAGCAAAGAAUCUAAAAGCUGCAUUUCUCAUGCCAAAGUGCUGCUUCAGUCCACUGUGCUAUGAUAACAAUCUCCCUAUUCCGACAUAAAUAAUUCUGUUUUUGCUUGCAAGCUUGUAACAGGGAGUCAGGGACCCACAUUUUUGGGGUCCCAGAGAUUCUUUUUUCUGAGAAUUGAGAGUGUCAGCACUCAAUUAUGCAGUAGAUUACUACUGAGAAAGAGCUAGUGGUACCUGGUAAUGGAAGUGUUUGCUUCGUGCUUAGUGCUACUAAGUAAGACAGCUGUUGCAUCUAGCUUGUAACUGUUUAAUUACUGUGCAGGGCAGUGCAAAGCAUGUGGAUAUGGGUGAUGGGGAUCUUUGUGCCCCCAGUAUUGAGGUAGCCCAUGUGUGGUCUGCAGCUUAAUUAAUCAUUCAUUCAUGCAUCUAUCUUCUUUGUUAACAAAGGUAGUACUGGCUCCUUUACCCUGAAAUGCCUUCUGUUCUCCUUCUUAAUCAUGAUAGCAAGGUUUGCAUUUUUUUUUAGACAUUACAGGCACAAUUGGAAUUGGUACUUGCCUGGCAGUAAAAGAAGAAGUACAAUUGUAAUUUGAUCAAUUUUGUCAAAACUGUCCUUCCCUAACAAAGAAUUCCUUGUGAAGUAGUAGCAUGUAUAUGAUUCCUUAUUCUUUCCUCAUGCGUCAUGUCUGCUCAGCAAAUUAAUGAUUUCUUUUCAUAAAAAAGGAGCCUUAGUGAUUCUUCUUUUUUGAUUUGAAAGCAUACGAUGAUUCCAAUUUAAAAAAGCACACCAUAAAAUAGCCUUUUAGAGCUGAUCAUUCUCAUAGUUCCCCUUUGGUGCUUCUUCUUUUGAAGAUAAAGAUAGGCCUAGCAGGUGCAUCCACAAGGGAAAAAGGCAAACCAACUGUUUCCGUUGUCAAUUCUGAAUUACUAAUAUAAGAGUCUCUGGAUGCUGCAUAAUGCAGGCAACUUUUGAGAAUUAUCAAUAGACCAAGAAAGAGUACUACGCAAUUGCCUUGUCAUUUCAUUCCACUGAAUGCCAAGUGCAGAUCAAGCCAGAAGCACUAGGCAGUGUCAUUUUUGCUGAGGUGUAGCUAUCCAGGAUCAUAUCGGUAGAGAAGACCAAGAAAAAAGAUAGCCAUGUAUCUGUCUUCCAGACACUUCAAAAGGUGGAGUAGAAGAUAAACCUGCAUGAAAAUUCAGUGGUAGAAAAUUUACAAAAAAAUAUAUUUUUAUACGGUACAUAUACACCCUUGAAUUUCUGGUAUAAGUUCUGCAUACACAUGAUCAAACCAUGUACUGACAGCAACUGCACCAUUUCUUUGAGUCAUGUACUAUUGCAAUCUUGUAAGCAAUCUAGUAUAGUACUAAAUAUGUUUAGUCAACAACCAUAAUGUAUUUAGAACGACCUAGGAAAUUAAGCUGCAUAUGCAACGUACACUGUGCUAGAAGUCAAAUUCAGGUAGCCCAAGAAAAAACUUUACAUGCAAGCUACUCCAAUGACCAAUGGUCGCAGCGUGUGACUUCAUUGCACGCAUCAUCGUCUCUGUGGAGUUAACCAAAUCUCACGCCCCGACCUGCGAUUUGAGCCCAGAAAACUAAGUACAAACUGAAGAAGAAGAAGAAGAAGAAGAAGAUGAAGAAGAAGAAGAAGUGUUUGUGUCAUUGUGUGUUGCUGGUGAUCACCAACCAGGCCAUAAAUAACCGUAGUUAGAUCCAACCAACUUCCAGUGAUGCACUUGACCACACCACCAUGGCAACAGCAGCACUGACACCUUAAAUGCAAAUACAGUUAUCAAAAAAUAAAUUGUACUACUAGUAGUAGUAUACACUCUACUCUACUGUAUAAAUACUCCACUAGUAGCAGAGUGUGGAUUCAGUUCUUCCCUGUCCGGUUAGGUGCAGCACAUCUACGUUGCUUGCACGCCAGUUCUUCAUCCCUGUCUCCAGUGCACCCAUGGAUACAUGCGUGCAUAAUUUGUACAGUACUAGUACAGUAGUAGUACUGCUAGUUAUUAGUUUAUCACAUUCAAAAUCUUCAGUUUUGAUAUAACAGCAUCCUAGUACUGGUUUCAGGCUAGGGUACAACAGUACAGGUAAGUACCAGCAGUUGGCCAUAAAAUUUGUGAGAGUGAAACAGCGUUUUACUAUCAGGGAUGAUAACAAUAAUUGUGGUGAAACUCACGCGGCUAAACAGGAACUCAACCUUAGGAUCCCCUGACAAAACACAGCCACAGGCCACAGCAGCAUCAAACACAUGUGCCCUUAUUGUUUCGCCUAUGCGUUUAAAUUUUAAAACUUAAUUUAGAAAUUGAUUUUAUAGUUUUUUAUCAUAAUUUAUUUACAAUAUUUAAUUUUAAAUCGUUAAGAACACGAUAAAAUUUUGCUCAUCAAUUAGCUUUUUUACUAAUAAACGGUAAAAGAAAACAUUAGCAAAACAAUAAGACUCCAAUCACGUGCAACCGAGAUCAGGAUACUUUAUAGUGAUGAAUGAUAAACUCACGUAUCAGUAACAAAGUCUUCGUUCUUUUCAUGCCCAGGGAAGAAUAUUUCAUAGUUCACGCAAAACAAAAGGACUUGUUAGCACAUAAUGAAUUAAAUAUUUAAUUAUUGUAAACUUGAAAGAUGGAUUUAUUCGAUUGUUAAGCAACUUAUAUAAUCUUUUUUUAAAAAAUGUAUCGUUUAACGUGUUAAUAGAAAACGAGAUAAACAGGGCACACGAUGAUUUUGAAGGUAACCGAUGUUUAUCCGUGGCACCGUGCCAGUUUCGCGGGUGGCGCAGGCGCGCGGCCGAUUUUUGGUCCAUCUCUCCCGCAAUCCAACGCGUGCGCGGUGCGCCCGCCUCGCGGCAGGCAGCCGAGCUGUCUCCAACCGUGCCGUGCAGCCCAACUCGUCGUCCACCUCACACUCGCCGCAGCCUCCUCUCCUCCCCUCGCCGCCGCCUCCUCCAUCGCGGACGCGGCCUCGAGACCCCACACUUCCAAGUUCCAACCACAACACACACAAACCCCUCCUCCCUCCUCCACUUUUUCCGUCGGAAAAGACUCCGCCCCCUUUCCGCCCUCGCCUUCCUUCCCUCCUUUCUUCUCCCACCCUUUUCCAACCUAAACCUCUCCUCCUCCUCCCCCUCCUCGCCGCCGCCUCUCUUCCCAUCUCCCCUCACCUACUACUACCUCUCCAUGUCGCCGGAUAACUAGCGUCCCAACCAGCCUCGCCGGCGAGGAGGAAGGUGGUGUCUCGCAUUCUUCUUCGGGGGAUGGGGGUGGGGGAGGAGGAGGGACGCGGGAUGGCGAGCCUGCUGGCGGCGAGGCGGGCGCUGCGGGCCGGGGUGGAGAGGUCGCGGGCGCUCAGCCACGCGCUGGCGCGGGCGGGGCCCAGGCUCGGGGAGAUCCGGGCGAGGCUCCCGCCGAUGGAGGCGGCCGUGCGCCCGAUCCGCGCCCCGCGGGACGCGCUCGAGGGCGCCGGGGAGUGCGUCGACCGCGCCGUGGGGCCUGCCGCCGCCGUGCUCAAGGUGUUCGACGCCGUGCACGGCCUCGAGCCGCCGCUCCUCGCCGCCUCAGCCGCCGCCGACGACCUCCCCGGAUACCUCGCCGUGCUGUCCCGCCUCGAGGAGGCGCUCCACUUCCUCUCCGACAACUGCGGCAUCGCCUCCCAGUGGCUCGCUGACAUCGUCGAGUACCUCGGGGACCGCAGCCUCGCCGACCCCCGCUUCGUCUCCGACCUCGCCGAGGCGCUCUCCCACCUCAAGACCCCCUCCGCGAACCUCGACGGCGGCCUCCUCGCCGCUGCACUGGACAUUCUUGAGGCCGAGUUCCGUCGCCUCCUCACCGAACACUCAGCUCCGCUCGCCAUGAAAGAACCCAACAACAGCUCCGACCCUGGCUCCAUCACGCCGCCGCGGAUCCCCGCCUCCGCCGUGCACAAGCUGAGCUUGAUCCUUGACCGGCUCGCCGCUAAUGGGCGGCUCGGCACCUGCACGGCUGCCUACGCCGAUGCUCGUGGAGACACGGUGAGCGCCAGCCUUCGAGCGCUCGGCCUUGAUUACUUGCACGACCCAGCUGAGGAUGCUCAGGUUCUCACCCCAAACGUCGAGCAUUGGGGGCGGCAUCUGGAGUUCGCCGUGCGCCACCUCCUAGAGGCGGAGCGGAAGCUCUGCGUCGCUGUGUUUGAACGGCGGCCUGAAGCCGCAUCCUCAUGCUUCGCCGAGAUUGCGUCGCGUGCUGGCAUCCUUGAUUUUCUCAAGUUUGGCCGUGCUAUAUGUGAUGCCAGGAAGGAUCCCAUCAAGCUCUUGCGGUUGCUCGAUGUGUUUGAUUCUUUGAGCAAGCUGAGAAUGGACUUCAACCGGUUGUUUGGUGGAAAGGCAUGUGUCGAGAUCCAAACCCGAACCAGGGAGCUUGUCAAGAGGGUGGUGGAUGGUUCCGUGGAGAUAUUUGAGGAAUUGCUCGUGCAGGUAGAGCUGCAGCGCAAUAUGCCGCCUCCAGCUGAUGGCGGAGUGCCACGCAUAGUUAGCUUUGUUGCCAAGUACUGCAAUCAGCUCCUUGGGGACCCGUAUCGCUCUGUGCUCACGCAGGUGCUCGUCAUCCAUCGCAGCU
rnacentral:lncRNA from 1 species